rnacentral:rRNA from 1 species
UACAGAGACUGCAAGCGUUAUUCGGAUUCACUGGGCGUAAAGGGUGCGCAGGCGGCCAUGUGUGUCAGGUGUGAAAGCCCGAGGCUCAACCUCGGAAUUGCGCCUGAAACUACAUGGCUAGAGUACUGGAGAGGGUAGCGGAAUUCAUGGUGUAGCAGUGAAAUGCGUAGAUAUCAGGAGGAACACCGGUGGCGAAGGCGGUUCUCUGGGCCUGUACUGACGCUGAGGAGCGAAAGCGUGGGGAGCGAACAGG